rnacentral:rRNA from 1 species
AUUGAACGCUGGCGGCAUGCUUUACACAUGCAAGUCGAACGGUAACAGGCCUUCGGGUGCUGACGAGUGGCGAACGGGUGAGUAAUGCAUCGGAACGGACCCCGAGGUGGGGGAUAACGCAGCGAAAGCUGUGCUAAUACCUCAUGUGAGCUGAGGAUGAAAGCGGGGGACCGCGCAGCAAUGUUUGGCCUCGCGCCUUUGGAGCGGCCGAUGUCGGAUUAGCUAGUUGGUGGGGUAAAGGCCUACCAAGGCGACGAUCCGUAGCUGGUCUGAGAGGACGACCAGCCACACUGGGACUGAGACACGGCCCAGACUCCUACGGGAGGCAGCAGUGGGGAAUUUUGGACAAUGGGCGCAAGCCUGAUCCAGCAAUGCCGCGUGCGGGAAGAAGGCCUUCGGGUUGUAAACCGCUUUUGGCAGGAACGAAACGGUGUCCGCUAAUACCGGGCGCUAAUGACGGUACCUGCAGAAUAAGCACCGGCUAACUACGUG